GACGAACGCUGGCGGCGUGCUUAACACAUGCAAGUCGAACGGAAAGGCCCUGCUUUUGUGGGGUGCUCGAGUGGCGAACGGGUGAGUAACACGUGAGUAACCUGCCCUUGACUUUGGGAUAACUUCAGGAAACUGGGGCUAAUACCGGAUAGGAGCUCCUGCUGCAUGGUGGGGGGUGGAAAGUUUCGGCGGUUGGGGAUGGACUCGCGGCUUAUCAGCUUGUUGGUGGGGUAGUGGCUUACCAAGGCUUUGACGGGUAGCCGGCCUGAGAGGGUGGCCGGCCACAUUGGGACUGAGAUACGGCCCAGACUCCUACGGGAGACAGCAGUGGAGAAUAUUGCACAAUGGGCGGAAGCCUGAUGCAGCAGCGCCGCGGGCGGGAUGACGGCCUUCGGGUUGUAAACCGCUUUCGCCUGUGACGAAGCGUGAGUGACGGUAAUGGGUAAAGAAGCACCGGCUAACUACGUG
rnacentral:rRNA from 1 species